ensembl:lncRNA
UGAUGAGGGUUUAGUAAUAAUACCUGUGCCCUUCCCAGUGUGUAUUGAUCAUGGUGGGAACAUCUGCAUUGUUUCAACACCAGGUGAUUCUAAGUUAGGCUCAGUUUAAGCACAAGGGCUAUGAGGUACAUGGGUGAGCGUUGCUUCCAGUCUUCAAUCCUUUUCCGUUUGGGGAGGCAUUGGUGGCUGCUCUACAUGGGAUGAGAUGGGCAGUGCGGUGUAGCCCCCUUACUCUACGCUGUAGCAGAGUCUGGGGGCAUCUGUGUGAGGGGAGAGCACGUGCAGACAGGAAAGAAAAACCUCACAGUUUUUUCUGUGAGAAAAAAACCUCCAGAAAUGAGCUCCAUGCAGGAGCUCAUUGUUCCUGAAUCUCUCUUUUUUCAAAAAGUCGGCGUUUCUGGGUUCUUUUGCCUGUGGGUGCGGUGGGAACAGAUGCAGAAGCUGUGCAGAUGCCAUUGAAGUCAUUCUCAAGAUACUAAUGUGGUUCUCAGCAUGACAUCGAUGAGAAAACAACGCAGAGCGGGAAGAAAAGGAGAAAACAGCAGCUUCUCGGAUAGUCAAAGUCAGCUCUUUACUUCUCCCCAGUGUUCCAGAGUCUUUGCUCAUUGUCUGCAUCCAGGCUCCCCACAAAGCAUGGAAGACUCUCAGCAUGAAUUAAUGACCUUCAGUUAUUAAAAUUAUCCCUUUUGUGAAAGAGCAACACGAGAAGGCAUUAAUAUCCAAAAUUCCCUAUGCGAUAAUUUCAGAUGUUGAGAUGCUAGUGAAGGGGAAAGUGGAAUGAUUACUCUACACCUGAAUGUAACAUCAACUUAUCACAACAGGGUUAAGAAAACAGUUUUAAUUGGGAUGGUAUUAGAGGUCCAUUAAAAUCAAAGUUCUGGGGAAGAAAAGUAAUUAGGAGGGAUUUGAUCUGUAUAUUGAUAAGAAAGACUAUUUAAAUACAGUAUUCAAGUCAGAGAAUAUGGGAAGUAUAUGUGGAUUGAAAUUUGCAUUAAAUGACAUUUUUUCCAUGGUAGUUUCAGAUUAUGAUUUUCUUAUGUAUUUC